CCUACGGGAGGCAGCAGUGGGGAAUUUUGGACAAUGGGCGCAAGCCUGAUCCAGCAAUGCCGCGUGAGUGAAGAAGGCCUUCGGGUUGUAAAGCUCUUUUGUCAGGGAAGAAACGGUCUACUCUAAUACAGUGGGCUAAUGACGGUACCUGAAGAAUAAGCACCGGCUAACUACGUGCCAGCAGCCGCGGUAAUACGUAGGGUGCAAGCGUUAAUCGGAAUUACUGGGCGUAAAGCGUGCGCAGGCGGUUAUAUAAGUCAGAUGUGAAAUCCCCGGGCUCAACCUGGGAACUGCAUUUGAGACUGUAUGGCUAGAGUGUGUCAGAGGGGGGUAGAAUUCCACGUGUAGCAGUGAAAUGCGUAGAUAUGUGGAGGAAUACCGAUGGCGAAGGCAGCCCCCUGGGAUAACACUGACGCUCAUGCACGAAAGCGUGGGGAGCAAACAGGAUUAGAUACCCUGGUAGUCCACGCCCUAAACGAUGUCUACUAGUUGUCGGGGACUUAAUUGUCUUGGUAACGCAGCUAACGCGUGAAGUAGACCGCCUGGGGAGUACGGUCGCAAGAUUAAAAACUCAAAAGUAGUAGUACGGACGUGAGACGUAGCGACGACGACACGACGGGAGGGUUAGG
rnacentral:rRNA from 1 species